rnacentral:lncRNA from 1 species
ACCACAUCAGUGAUUUAUUUUCUCCCUUUAGGUCUCAUAACUCUAAAGAUUAGAAGUGUGUUUAGAUGGCCCAUCCAAAUUCUGUCACAAGAAGACAAAUGUGUAAGAGAAAACUAUAUUUGCAACAAAUCCAUCAGGCGGUUUAGCAAAGCUACUACUUAUAAGAUCGAAACAUUCUCUGCUCUCUCCUGGAGGCUAAAUCCACAACAGCCUUCCCUGUUGUUAGCCAAGAUGGGUAGAUCCAUGAAUGCUAAUUUUCAGUGUGACUUAAAUCUGGCUGGCUUUUCUAAAACGAGCAUUUCCAUGUCUUUUUUUAUUAGUGGGUAAUACAGGAAACAGGGGAAGAAGACUAUUUCACUUUCAGUCUGCAUGUUACAUUCAGAGUGACUGAUCAUAUCAAAAAUAAGUAAGUCCUGGUCUAGGUUCUCAAUAAGUAACAAUCACACUGUUUUUGUUAUUGAAGAAGGCACACACCUGUCUGCAAACUAGCUUUACGUUUAAUUAAAUAUGUUGGUUCAUGAGAAAGGUUUUAAAAGCAAAUCUGGAAAAACAACAACUAGAAAACGAGCAAAUUUCCAGUUGAAAUCGCACUGAAUGAACGUUUAAAACACGUUUGCUGAUGCUGAAACGGAAUAAAUUCUUGCUGCACAAAAGAUUUUGUUGUACUUCAGUCACAAGUUAGUCAUGUCAAGCUUUUUUUUUAUCUCAAAGCAGUCAUAACUGAUUUCUAUUGGUUGCCAACUGUGUUCAAAUUGAUCUUUUUGCACAUUCCAACUUACAUAAACUAAAUUGCAAAGGGUUUCAGAUUACACGACAACUCAGUUUAAUUUUCAGUAUGAAUACAUCUUGGAACAUUUUCAAACUGCACUGAGACGAAGAGGGAAUUGAGAAGCUCUGCAAAUGAAGACAUUUUGGAAACUCUUGUGAAUUUUGUCAUGUUGCAGAUCUUGCUCUGGUAUAAUGUCCAAAACCUGGAUUUUCUUUGCAAACAUAUGGUGAAUGUUGCAAGCACACAAAAGGGACGCUGUGGGAUCCCUGACAGAGCGGGAUGAGUUAAUGACUGUUUAAAGCAUGCACACACUUUCUGCACUGAGGUUCUGGUGGUUUAUCAUAAACAGUAUUGUUUCUACUACCUGAACUUCUGGGUAAUUUUACCCGACCCUCCCACAUCUGCCCUCAUGGUGCAGUUCAGUGAUGUCACUCGCUGCCUUAAUAUUUGCUGACAUCUUAGAAAGUCCAGAAAGGGCUGAUUUUGAAUGGAGAC